GGAAAAGGUAAAAGAAAAGAAGAGAAUGAAUUGCAGCUGAGGAAGUGGAAGAGCGAGAAGCGCUUCCAGAUACCAGGUGAUGGUGUGCCAGUUCUGCUCUCUGCUGUAUCUGUGUCCUGUUUCCUUAUGUCGUUUGUAAUUUUUGAUCACAAGCACAUUUUCAACAAGCUCAUUGGAGCCACCAGCUGAAAGCAAGGGAGUGAAUGAGCCCAGCCCCGAGUGGAGCAGAAGGAGCCCAACCAGCGAAGCCCAGCCUGAAUUCCUGACUAACAGACUUAACAGGUGGAUUUUUGGGUUUGCUGAAGAAGAAAAAGAAGGAGAAGGAGAAGGAGAAGAAGAAGAGAAGUGUGAUUAACAAGAAAAAAACUUAUUUGGGGGCUAUGAACACCUUGAAUAUUUAACAGAAUAUCAGCUACUCAUCUGUAACCAUUCACUACAUAGCUAAACUUUUAGUAAUAAUGUAGGUAUUCUCUGGCCAAGAGAAAGAUAGGAUGUGUGUGUGUGUGUGUGUGUGUGUGUGUGUGUGUGUGUGUGUGUGUGUUUAACAGAAGAAAAUGGAAAGAAAAUAAAAUAAAGGAUAUUUUGGAGUCAGUGAGUAAAUAUUUACUUUUAGAGUAUAGCAUGUUUUAAUGGAAUAUGAUGUGUAGGACUGGAGGAAAAAUAACAAAUAUAUUUACUUAUAAUUACUUAUUAUUUUUACAAACUCUACUUACUAAAAAUUAUUUGAGACAGCUCACAUUUAUCCAACAAACACUGCUGAACACCUCAUAUAUCCUUUGCCUAAAUUUGUUGAGAGUAAGUACAGAGCACCACAUGAGUCAGAAUUCAUAAUGGCAUGUACAAGGAAUGUGAUCACUAGUAGGAGGCAAUUCUCUAUGGACUUCCUAAGUUUCUGUAUGUCUUGUGAUAAGAGGUAGAGAAUGCCUUUGUUAUAGAUUAUCUUUUCAAGGAUAUUUGCAUUAUUGACUAGCCUUGGGGGAGAAAAAGGGAGAGACAUAAAGACAGAAAGAAUAUUUCCCUCAAGAGCAAUAGGCCAGCAUGCUUACUGCCUAUUAUAAAGUAUUUGAGUUCCCUAAGCUCAGGAUUUUUUCCUUUUAAACAAAACCCACAGUGGCUUGGUUUUCUUCAAGUUACCAUGUGGGAACUGGGGCUUGGGGAAUGGGUGCAAUUGCUGUAAUAAGUAGUCCCAUAACUGUAAGUAAUAAAUAGUUCUACAUCUCUGGCCCAGGGGUCUUGUAGCUUCAUCCAACAGCCAUAAAAAUGUGUAAGUAAUUUCUUAGUUUGUAUGUGGGGUAAACUUCCAGACCCUUAACAAAUUUUGUUAUUUGCUUUGAGUAUUUGCAUUUUAUUCAGACAAAUACUUGAGCCAAACUUGUACUUUCUCAAGGAAAAAUAUACACUAUCAUAUUUAAUUUUCUUGUUAAAUUUAAACUCAAAAACCUCCCCAGGGGAAAAUGAGUAAAGGAUGUUGUAAAAGAAAGAAGAGUCAAAAUGGAAUGAUGAGAGUACCAAAAAUAGGCUGGGUUUAGUGGCUCAUGCCUGUAAUCUGAGCACUUUGGGAGACCACGGUGGAAGAGUCGCUUGAGGCCAGGAGUUCAAGACCAGCAUAAGCAACAUAGCAAGACCCCAUCUCUAUUAAAAAAAAAAAAAGUAAACAAAUAGACAAACAAAAAAUACCAAAAAUAAUGAAAAACCAAAAAAACAGGUCAAGAAAAGAGUAGAGCACAGGCAUUAAACUUUUAAAAAUGUCUUUAGACAAAUGUUGUUUAAAAAUAUUUUAGAUUCAUCCAGUGGUUAUGCUAAUAGACAUACUUUUGCUGAAAAUAUGGACAAGGGCUAGUUUAUAGGGAGAGAGGUGGUUGACUAUUCUUCACUAAUUUUUAAAUGGCAAAGUUUUAUUACAGUUAAAGAAUGGAAACAGACAGCUGUGAAUAAUUCAUUUAAAAUGUAAGCUGAUGAAAGAAGGAGACAGACAUUUUUCUAGUGUUCAAAUUACGCGGUGCUUGUCCUAAAUACUGCUGAAUUCACCACUUGGAAGGGAAGACAAAUCUUAUUUGGAACGUGCCAUUAUUUAGUAUGUAAUUUCUUAAUAUCUCUUAAUUAUAAAGGUGUCAGUGAAAACCACAAACUCAGUUAUUUAAAUCUUUGAUGCUUUUGAAAAUUCAGCUAUCUUCAUCUAUUAGAC
rnacentral:lncRNA from 1 species